UUUAAAACAGAAGCAAACAAAUUAUGAAAGUUUACAUCUAUUUAGUAGUUAUUUAUGUGGCCAUAGGUCAGAUCCUAACUGCAACACCAAGAGAACUCCGAGACGCUGAAAUAGAAUUAAAUGGUAUCUUUGAAUAUUUAGAAAAAAUCAGACCAUUGAGUCUUAUGGUCGAUACAAUGAUGGAUGUCGAAUUAACUACCACUGGUAUGAAAUAUCGCGCUAAUCUUGUAAUAAACCAUUUUCUGUUGAGAGCAUGUACCAUAGAGCUUAGCACUACAUAUAUCAGUACAACUGAAUUAAAAAUUGAUUGUACUGGCGAUAUACAAUUUUUCGAAUCAUUUUAUAGGCCUUUAAUGUAUGUAUAAUUAAAAAUUUCAUACACAUUUUUUGGAACCUA